AAAUUGAAGAGUUUGAUCAUGGCUCAGAUUGAACGCUGGCGGCAGGCCUAACACAUGCAAGUCGAACGGUAACAGGAAACAGCUUGCUGUUUCGCUGACGAGUGGCGGACGGGUGAGUAAUGUCUGGGAAACUGCCUGAUGGAGGGGGAUAACUACUGGAAACGGUAGCUAAUACCGCAUAACGUCGCAAGACCAAAGAGGGGGACCUUCGGGCCUCU
rnacentral:rRNA from 2 species